rnacentral:rRNA from 1 species
GUCGAACGAAGUAGCAAUACUUAGUGGCAGACGGGUGAGUAACAUGUAGGUAUCUGCCCUUUGGCCUGGAAUAACACGAGGAAACUUGUGCUAAUACCGGAUAAGUCUUUACGGAGAAAGCUUUAUGCACCAUUGGAUGAGCCUGCACUUGAUUAGUUUGUUGGUGGGGUAAUGGCCUACCAAGACUGUGAUCAAUAGCUGAUUUGAGAGGAUGAUCAGCCACAUUGGGACUGAGACACGGCCCAAACUCCUACGGGAGGCAGCAGUGGGGAAUCUUGCACAAUGGAGGAAACUCUGAUGCAGCGAUGCCGCGUGAGUGAAGAAGGCCUUUGGGUUGUAAAGCUCUUUCGUCGGGGAAGAAAAUGACUGUACCCGAAUAAGAAGGUCCGGCUAACUUCGUGCCAGCAGCCGCGGUAAUACGAAGGGACCUAGCGUAGUUCGGAAUUACUGGGCUUAAAGAGUUCGUAGGUGGUUGAAAUAGUUGGUGGUGAAAUCCCAGAGCUUAACUCUGGAACUGCCAUCAAAACUUUUCAGCUAGAGUAUGAUAGAGGAAAGCAGAAUUUCUAGUGUAGAGGUGAAAUUCGUAGAUAUUAGAAAGAAUACCAAUUGCGAAGGCAGCUUUCUGGAUCAUUACUGACACUGAGGAACGAAAGCAUGGGUAGCGAAGAGGAUUAGAUACCCUCGUAGUCCAUGCCGUAAACGAUGUGUGUUAGACGUUGGAAAUUUAUUUUCAGUGUCGCAGGGAAACCGAUAAACACACCGCCUGGGGAGUACGACCGCAAGGUUAAAACUCAAAUGAAUUGACGGGGACCCGCACAAGUAGUGGAGCAUGUGGUUUAAUUCGAAGAUACGCGCAGAACCUUACCAACACUUGACAUGUUCGUCGCGACUCUAAGAGAUUAGAGUUUUCGGUUCGGCCGGACGAAACACAGGUGCUGCAUGGCUGUCGUCAGCUCGUGUCGUGAGAUGUUGGGGUUAAGUCCCGCAACGAGCGCAACCCUCACUUUUAGUUGCCAUCAUUAAGUUGG